CUCAAAGAAAGUUAGUCUUCCCUACGAUCUUCAGGGUUUUGCCAUUAUUUAUUGAUUUUCACAUUAUAAAGUUUAAACUCGCCCCAGGGAAAGGGAAGAGGAGGUAAUUCCAGAGCUGUUGUAUUGUAUCUGGCUAAGCCAAGUGGCCUCCGUACUUCCCACUGGUCCUCCCAACACCGGGAUGUUGAAGGAGGACAUCACCCACGAAGAGCAAUCACAAGCAAACUUACCAGGUCGACUGUCAGCUGCCACUCUUGCCACCACUGGUGAAAUGGAACAGUGCCGGUGCGGACGUGGGCUAUGGAGGACGAGAAAGCUGAGUUCAUAUCUCAGCUCUUGUUUAGGGUCACUUACCCCCAAAAGAAACUCGGUAUCUUCAUCUGUAAAAUGAACAGUGUACUAACAGAUUCCCCACGAAAGAACCCUCUGCUAUGUUCAACAAUAGAACGAGAAAUGGGCCAGGUCAAGGCUCUGCCAGCACAGUCUCCUGCAGAAAGUCCAGGUAGAUGUGAAGUUGUCAGAGUAUUUAUAUCCCAGUGUCCUCACAGAGCUUCUUAUUUCCUGGCAAGAAGAAUUUUGACAAAGGUUUGUUCCCACAGGCACGUUAGUGUGGUGAUGGCUGGACCGCCACAAGUGGCGCCUGAACAGGGACCUGAGUAUUGA
rnacentral:lncRNA from 1 species